UACGUAGGGUGCGAGCGUUGUCCGGAAUCACUGGGCGUAAAGGGCGCGUAGGUGGUGGCUUAAGCGUGCGGUGAAAGCUCGGGGCUCAACUCCGAGUCGGCCGUGCGAACUGGGCUCACUGGAGCAUAGUAGAGGCAGGUGGAAUUCCGGGUGUAGCGGUGGAAUGCGUAGAGAUCCGGAAGAACACCGGUGGCGAAGGCGGCCUGCUGGGCUAUGGCUGACACUGAGGCGCGACAGCGUGGGGAGCAAACAGG
rnacentral:rRNA from 1 species